UACCUCUGGAACGGUAUCGGUGCACGUCCUGGCCAUGUUUCGAUCUUCUCGAAGUACUUGACGGGGACAACGCCGUCGAAGCCCUCCGUCAGUAUCACCUUGUUGUCUGAGAUGUAUAGCUUCAUCCCGUCUGAGAAACAAAUUCAGAAAUCAAAUGUUAGCCUCUAG
rnacentral:rRNA from 1 species